rnacentral:misc_RNA from 1 species
AGAAUAUAACGUUUGGAGCUUUCGUAAAAGGACUAAUCAAAUUGUUCAUCCAGGUUUGCAAUAACCCAUCAAGAAUGUCCCAUAAUUAAUCUGUAAGCUAUCGAUAAACACAUCACCAAUAGCUUAGAAAGUAGCCGAAAACAUGAGAUUCUCCCUCACCAGACAAAGAAGAGUACAAAUACAUGCCAGUGACAAGAAACAUAACAGCAGUCCACAACAUUUUCGAAAGAACCUCUCAUAGCCGGCUAAUGACUGCCUCCACCUCUGCAGGGGUGUACAGAUGGUAUGUU